rnacentral:lncRNA from 1 species
AGUAGGCAGGCUUCUGGAAGGAUGGGGCCCAGCACUCACAGCCUGGGCUAGCUGCCUGAGAGUAGAGAGUGGCAGGUGAGGGCUCUGAACCUUACUGUGUGCUGCCCAAGGAGCACCUAGGGCUGCCAAGAGGCCCAGGGAGGAGCCUUGAGACCUGACUGGGAAAGGCUUUUCUCCCCGCAGAGGACCACUGCUCAGGCUCAGCGGCCAUGGGGCAGAGCCCAUACAAAAGUGGGCAUCCAGUCAUGCUCUAAGCCCCCUGAAGAAGAAGACCAGGGAGCAGCUUCCUCUGAUGAAGCAGCAGUGAUCAGGGGACAGGAGGCUGAAGCCGUGAGCCCAGCAGAGUCAGGAACAGCCAAGUCUGGGACAGGCUUCAAUUAUUUUAGGUGCUGAAAACAACAUACUCUCCACUCUAAAGGAGCCAGAACCCCAGUGCGAGUGAUGAUAUAAGGAAGAUGCAUCCAGUGCUUAGAGGAGGACAGCCAAACAGCAAAACACAACCGUAAAUGCUGUCUUCAUAGCAAAAGGACUAUAGAAAGAGGAAACAAUGAACCCAAAGGUACUACCUGCAUGAUGAACUGGAUUGUCACCACACCCAUAAUAACCAAAUAGUCCCUCCACAGACUGAAGCAUGUACACUGCUUGCCAAGGAUGCAGUGGUGGGAAAAGCACAAUUCUAGAGCCAGGCAGACUGGCUCUAGAUUAUGAAUCUAGAUUUGAAUCCCAAUUCCGUUACUUACCAUCUAUGUAACCUAGUACUGGUUGUCUAACUUCUCAGAUCUCAAUUUUCCCAUCUGUACAAUGAGCAUUCAUUUAUUAGUUAGGCAUUUAAUCAAUGCUUAUUGUGUGGCAAACAUUGCAGUAGGUCCAAAGCAACACAAUGAUGAAUAAAACAGGCUUCUUGUGAGUUCUGAUUUAAAUGAAAUAAUACAUGU